UACGUAGGGGGCAAGCGUUGUCCGGAUUUAUUGGGCGUAAAGAGCGUGUAGGCGGCCUGAAAGGUCAGCUGUGAAAACUCGAGGCUCAACCUCGAGACGUCGGUUGAAACCAUCUGGCUAGAGUCCGGAAGAGGAGUGUGGAAUUCCCGGUGUAGCAGUGAAAUGCGUAGAGAUCCGGAGGAACACCAGUGGCGAAGGCGGCUCGCUGGGCUCUACCUGACGCUGAGGCGCGAAAGCGUGGGGAGCGAACCGG
rnacentral:rRNA from 1 species